AUUGAACGCUGGCGGCAGGCCUAACACAUGCAAGUCGAACGAGUGGCGGACGGGUGAGUAAUGUGGGGGAAACUGCCUGAUGGAGGGGGAUAACUAAGGGAAGCGGAAGAUAAUACCGAAUACACUCAGAUGUGCCCAGAUGGGAUUAGCUAGUCGGUGGGGUAACGGCUCAACAAGGCGACGAGCCCUAGCUGGUCUGAGAGGAUGACCAGCCACACUGGAACUGAGAAACGGCCCAGACUCCUACGGGAGGCAGCAGUGGGGAAUAUUGCACAAUGGGCGCAAGCCUGAUGCAGCCAUGCCGCGUGUAUGAAGAAGGCCUUCGGGUUGUAAAGUACUUUCAGCGGGGAGGCGUUACCCGCAGAAGAAGCACCGGCUAACUCCGUGCCAGCAGCCGCGGUAAUAC
rnacentral:rRNA from 1 species